rnacentral:pre_miRNA from 9 species
UCUCGAUAGCGUAAAAGUUAACUGAAAUUUGUAUGGAUUUGGAAGGUUUGCCUACGUUUGCCGCUAGGGGCGCUGUUUCAACUGCACACAAAUUUGGGGUUAACUUUUACGCUAUCGA